UUGUAACACAAGGAGGAGGAGGGCAGGCUGUCAUUCUUAUCAAGCUGGGGCUCAGCUUUUGUCCCCAGUCUGGGCCCAGCUCUCUUUGAUCCUGGCAAGGCCAUUGUUUCCCCAGUGCUGGCCUCUCUGCCUUGCAGGGGAAAAUGUGGUCUUUGUUCUUCUGAGACUUUUUUAUCCAAGUUCUGCCCUGGUGGGGACAAGCCGGGAGGGGCUCCGUGUGAGGAUCCAGUCCCCGCAGCUGAGGGACAAGGGCCGCCCCUGUCUCCUGGCCUCCGCCUUGCGUGGGUUGCUCAGAACCUUCUGGCUUGCACAAGUCAUGCUGUGUUGGGGGUGGAGAGGGAACACUGGGCAGUUUCAGCUUCUUUAUUUUUAAAAAUUGCCUUUGUUAACGUUUCCAGCGUGACCUUAAUAUAAAUCAAAUGCAGCAAACACUUGGCGAAAACCUGCAUUUGAAUCUUAGUGCAGCUAUUUACUGGCUGGGUCAACGUGGGUUAGACAUUUCACCAAUUGGGGUCUCAGUUGCCUUCUCUACACAAUCAGGAAAAUGAAAAUAUUUAUGCUACAGUAUUAUCGGGAGGUUUUAUUCAUCCAUUGAAUAUCUGUUAAGCAUCAACUCUUCGUCAAGCACUGUGGUCUGUGCUGUAGAAGCAGUGCAGAAUGAGAUAGACUUGAUCAAAUGCCUCCUGAAGCUUACCAGAGAAGGACAUUCAACUGACAUAUUUGUGAGUCCUGCAAGAAGAAGUGCAGAUUGUCAGGGCAGCGUGUACUAGCGCUUCACUGAGUCUUGGUGGUCAAGAGAGAAUUUUGCAAAAAUUCAACAUGCAUCAAAGGAAGCUGGGACUUGGGAGCUAAUUGAACACAUUGGUCCCUCCCACCCCCAAACCCCUGCGCAGGAUCAGAUCCUUUACCAACACCUGCUGGGUUUGAGCAGGUUUAAGAAACUCCUGGCCCCUCUAGGGAACAUACUCAGCUGAAAAGGAGUAGAGGCUGGGAACUGCUCCAGGGGCCUGGAAAUUGAUGAAGAUGCAUACAAGAUGAGACAGCUGAGACUCAGAGAAGUGAGGGUAACUUGCCUGAAGCCACACAGCUAAGCAUACCUGAAGGUGAAACUCUUUUAAUGCUACUCAGAGGUACGGAAACUGAGGCACAGAGACAAUAAGGUGCAAAGAAGGCAUAUCUCCACCCCAACUCAUUUAGAAUGGAUUAAAAAAUUCUUCACGAAGCAUGCUCGCGUUCUGGAAAAUUCAGAUUUUAAUUUUCUACCUCUCUUCUGCACCCAGUGGUUGAACAUACAACAUCCUCAACAAUGCAGAAGGCUAUCAAUUUCACUGCACCCUUGCUAGCACUGGGCAUUAUUGUUAUUACUGGUAAAGUUAUUAGAAGAAAUAAGUGAGAAUCCCAGUUUCUACUCAUUUAUUCUAAACCAAACACACAUAAGUCAACUAUCCUGGGCUCUUCAAAAAUGUCAGUGCCAUGAAAGAAAGAAAGAAAAAGGGCAUAAGAACUAUUGUAUACUAGAAUCUGCCUGUAACUCAGGAGUCUCAGGAGACAUGGGUUCGAUCCCUGAGUUCGGAAGAUCCCCUGGAGGAGGAAAUGGCUGCCGACUCCAGUAUUCUUGCUCAGAAAAUCCCAUGGACAGAGGAGCCUGGUGUGCUACAGUCCAUACGGUUGUAAAGAAUUGGAUAUGACUGAGCGCACAUGCGUGACACUUGAAAGAGACGUGACAUCCAAGUGUGGUGUGUGAUACGUGUUUGGAUGCUGGAUUGGAAAAAGAAAGAACAGCUGUAAAGAGAAUUACUGGGAAAUGUUAAAUACUAAACAUGUAUUCCAUAGUAUUUUAUAAAUAUUAAAUUUGGAAGCAUGAUAAUGAUAUCAUAUGAGAGAAUAAAAUUGUAAGAGAUGCAUAUUAAAGUAUUUAGAGAUACUAGUGUUUUUAUAUUGGUAAGUUAUGUUCCAAUAAUUCACAAACUAUAUAUGUGUGUGUGUGUGUGUGCACACAUAUAUAAAGAGAGAGAGGUAAGGAAAGAGCCAAUAUGGCAAAAUAUUAACAGUUAAUAAAUUUGUAUAGAAAUCAUAGGAAUUAAUUGGACUAUUAAUGUUUCUGUUUUAAUUUCUCUGAAACUUUAAAAAAUUAAAAGGUGGGUGAAAUGGUAGCAGGUAUUACAUAUUAAGGAUCAUAUAUCUAGUAGCAAGAGUGUUACAUAUCAAUUACCAAGUGCUGCUGCUGCUGCUAAGUCGCUUCAGUCGUGUCCGACUCUGUGCAACCCCAGAGACGGCAGCCCACCAGGCUCCCCCGUCCCUGGGAUUCUCCAGGCAAGAACACUGGAGUGGGUUGCCAUUUCCUUCUCCAAUGCAUGAAAGUGAAAAGUGAAAGUGAAGUCGCUCAGUCGUGUCCGACUCUUCGCGACCCCAUAGACGGCAGCCCACCAGGCUCCUCCGUCCAUGGGAUUGUCCAGGCAAGAGCACUGGAGUGGGGUGCCAUUGCCUUCUCCACCAAGCGUUAGUGGCAUGUAUUACAAAUCAAGUGCUGACUGUGCUAGGCUUGUGUUAAGUGUUUUACAUACAUCAUUAAUUUAUUUAAUCCUCAUCACAAUCCUCUAAGGCAGCUAACAUUUCUUUAUACUUGAGGUAUCUGAGGUUCAGAGAGGUGCAGAAACUUGUUCAAGGUCACUCAGUUAACAGGGAAGGAAGCAGAGGCACCGAGAGAGGAGUAACCUGCCCAGACCAUCACCUAAAUAAUGGUCAUGACAGGGUUAGGACUGAGGUGUCUGAUUCUUAACUGGGAUUUGGUCAAUUGUAUUAAAAAGGUUAUUCCUCCUUGUUUUCUUGCCCAGUGGGACUCCAUCUAGAGAAACGUUUCCGCCAGCUCUACUAGACUUAUUUCAAAAAGAAAAUAUUCCGUUUUUUCAUUCCACUUUGAAAAGAUAAGGCAUCCAGCUUCCUGUCCUGUGGCUGUUGCUCAGACUUCUGUACUAGUUCUCAGCAAUGUGUGUUCUCCGUGACUAUUGGGUCACAACUUUUAUCAGAUUCCAGAGAUGGGAAAACUCAAGCGGCCAACAGAAGCUCCGGACUGAGAGCAAGCAGUCUCUUUCAUUACUAGAGGGACAGUGAUUCUUUGUCUGCUUCUGACUAUUCACUUUAAACACAAGCACAGAGUUAGCCUGAUAUAGGGUUCUGCAAGCUGAGGGUCAUGACCCUUUAGUGGGUCUUGAGAUCAACUUAGAUGGUGGCUGGCAGCGUUUAGAAAAUGAUUUUGAAGAUAACAACAAGGACCUACUAUAUAGCACAGAGAACUACAUUCAGUUUCUUGUAAUAGCCUAUAAUGGAAAAGAAUCUGAAAAAGGUAUAUAUAUAUAACUGAAUCAUUUUUCUGUACAUCUGAAACACUGUAAAUCAACUAUUUAAAUAAAAAAUGAUUUUAAAAUCACAUUGACUAGAAUAUAAAAUAUUGGUGUAUGUUCAUUAUGAAGGUAGAUUUUUUUGUGUGUGUGUGAAAGUACUCACAUACAGACACACACACACAAGUUUUGGAUGAUGGUAUA
ensembl:lncRNA